rnacentral:tmRNA from 1 species
GGGGAUGAUCGGUUUCGACAUUGCCUGAGUGAGUGUGAGAAGCGGGCCGAGAACGCACGGUUAUCUCGUUAACGAUCCGUGCAAAUUAUAAGUGCCGAUAAAAACAGCACUGUUGCUGCUAAGUCGACUUUCGCCCUCGCGGCCUAAGUCUCUUCUUAGCUACAUAUAGCAACCGUCAGACUGGGAAUGCUCUCUACCCAGACCCUGGCGUAAUUUAGAGAGAUUGCUCCGACUCUGAGUCUCAGGGUGUCGGAGGACAUGCACUGAGGCUGGGCUUGUCGGAUUAGGUGCCAGUGGCACAUUCCGGAGCCGAGUAGAACGCUUUCACUGGCUACACCCGUAGAAGGCACAUGACCACAGCAGUGGACGGGGGUUCAAUUCCCCCCAUCUCCACCA